rnacentral:rRNA from 1 species
GACAGAGGGUGCAAACGUUUGUUCGGAAUUACUGGGCGUAAAGCGCGUGUAGGCGGCAGCGCAAGUCGGAUGUGAAAUCCCAUGGCUCAACCAUGGAAGUGCACCCGAAACUGCGUCGCUAGAGUCCUGGAGAGGAAGGUGGAAUGCUUGGUGUAGAGGUGAAAUUCGUAGAUAUCAAGCGGAACACCGGUGGCGAAGGCGGCCUUCUGGACAGUGACUGACGCUGAGACGCGAAAGCGUGGGGAGCAAACAGG